ensembl:lincRNA
AUGAAGGCCUUUACAAAGCAUACUCAGAUUUUUUUCAAUAGGAAUAUUAGUAUAUGCUUUUUCAAUUCUCUGUCAUUCAAAAUGUCCAUUAAUCUGGUAUUUGUUUUUCAGUAUGUCCUGUCUGUCCUGAAAUUUACCUACCCCACAUUAUUCCAAGGGUGGCAGACUCUCAUCGGUGGACUUUUGCUUCAUGUGUCAUGGAAACUGGGCUGGGUGGAGAUCAACAGCAGUUUAAGAUCUAAUGUUUUGGCAUGGCUUCCUGCUUCAGUGCUGUUCGUGGGUAUAAUCUACGCAGGGUCCAGAGCUUUGUCCAGACUGGCUGUUCCUGUGUUUUUCAUUUUGCAUAAUGUAGCUGAAGUUCUCAUCUGCGGGUACCAGAAGUGUGUCAGGAAAGAGAAAACAUCGCCCACAAAGAUCUGCAGUGCCCUCUUCCUUGUGGCUGCUGCAGGGUGCCUUCCCUUUCAGGAUGCACAGUUUGACCCAGAUGGAUAUUUUUGGGCUGUAGUUCACUUAUUUUGUGUAGGAGCUUACAAAAUACUUCGGAAAUCCCAGAAGCCCAGCGUGUUAAGUGACAUUGACCAGCAGUACUUAAACUAUAUAUUCAGUGUGGCACUCCUGGCAUUUGCAUCGCAUCCCACAGGUGACCUCUUCAGUGUCCUGGACUUUCCAUUCCUGUAUUUCUACAGAUUCCACGGCAGCUGCUGUGCCAGCGGAGCUUUAGGCUUCUUUCUCAUGCUCAGCAGAGUAAAGCUGAAAAGCAUUCUGGCCCCAGGGCAGUGUGCAGCCUGGAUUUUCUUUGCUAAGGUCAUGACAGCUGGCUUAUCACUGCUGCUGUUUGAUGUGAUCCUGACCAGGGCAACCGUGGGAUGCUUCCUGCUGGGUGGACUUGGUGAGGCCCUGCUAGUGUUCUCGGAGCGGAAGAGUUCCUGAUGAAGAUAUGGGCAAGGAGAGGAAACAUACAACUUGCUGGCUGACCACACAGCACCCUGGCCUCCCUCUUGAGAGGCAUAGAAAGAACACACUACAGUGAGACCAAGCUGAGCUCAAUACUCCACUUUCUCAUUGCUUAGGGCAGGGUUUCCUAGGGGCCUCUGCACCACUGCAGAGAAAGGGUGUGUCCAUCUUACAUCUUCCCAUGCUGGACCUGGGCCACUCUGCUGCACCAGUUCUGCUGAGUCAGGAAGCAGAGGACCUUAUUGUGUCAUCUGGAUGGACUGCAGCCUCUGGACACUAAGCCUCCCAGCAGAUACUGUUUUGUGGUUGAAGUCACAGUCCCAUGGAGUCUUUUUGCAGUUUUUGGUGGUGUUUUGUGUCUUUACAUCUUGGAGUCUCUUCUACCCCUUGAUUUUUCUGGUUUACUUGAGCCCAUGCCCACCCACAGAAAACAGGAUGUGCUCCUGAGAGCCAUGUAGGGCAGGGCAGGGUUCUGGACCAAGUGAGACACCAGCAAAGAUCUUCAGACUGUGCCAUGAGUUGUGGUCGAUGUUGAUUUAUUUACAAGAACCUCUUGUAAAUUUGUCAGGAUAUAGAUUAAUAAUUGGAAUAAAGUCCCACACCUUACCACUAGAGAAAUACACACAAGAUAGUCACUUAAGAAACUAAUGCUGGGUUCUAGAUAGUUCUUCUGACUGAUUUUACAGAUACUUGAUUCUGGCAAGUGUCAUUCUGAGGCCACUUUGCCAGCCCUGAAGUCUAGAAGACCUGUGUCAUUGGUAGAGACCCACUCGGUUCUGGGAACAACUCCUUGUUUUUUUCCCCCCAACUUGUUGGAAAACAAAGAAAAUAAAACAAUAGGAUAGAUUUAGGUAUUCAGAGUGUGAGAAUCUUCAGUUCAUCUUGUUCUGGUCUCUGCUUGUCAUUUCAGGUAAAAGUGUCCCAAGACUUCAUGCUUAGGUAGUCUGCAAUUCUCUUUCUUAGAGUAUCUUUAAGAUUUAUUUAUUCUGUUAUCUUAUGAGUAUUGUGCACUAUGUGUAUGCCUGGUACCUGUGAAGGUCGGAAGGGGGCAUCUACCUCCACAAAAACUGGAGGUAGACAGUGAUGAGCUGCUGUAUGGGUGCUGUGAACUGAACUGUGUGCUCUGCAGGAGUAACAAGUGCUCUUUCUUCUUUUCUUUCUUUUUUUUUUGGGGGGGAUGAGGGUUGAAUCAGUGUUUCUCUGUGUAGCUAUGGACAUCCUGGAACUCACUCUGUAGUCCAGACUGGCCUCAAACUCACCAGCCCUGCAACUUACUUUUAAAAACCAUUUUUAUUUUAAAUUAUGUGUAUGUUUCUAAGUAUUGCACAAAUGAGUGCAGGUGCCCCCAGGAGACCAGAAGAGAAUGUUGAAUCCCCUGGAGAUGUAAUUACAAGAAGUUGUGAGCUGCCAGCAGUGGUUGCUGGACAAAGACCCUGAACCUCUCUGCAAGAGUAUUUUAUUACAUGCUCUUACCUGCUGAGUGUCUCUCCAGUCUAGAACUCACUUUUGUUCUUCAUCUAGUGUAGCAGCUAGGAAGUAUGCAGUUAUAUCCUGUAGAUCAAAUAGAGAAUUUUCUUUUUUUAAAUUCCCACACUUGCCGAAUGCCCCCCUGUCCCGCGCUAACCGUCUCGCCAGCAAAAACGACGCGGCACACUCCUCAGGAUCCUUCUGCAGUAAAGCUUUAAUGCGUCUUGAGAGGGAGAGCAUAAGCUUACAGAGCGGAGACUCUGAACUCCCAAAAACCCAUCCCUUAUAUAGGCUGGCAACCCAUAUGACGUCACGGGAGAGGCGGAGACCAAGGGAUGGAAAGUUACAAAGUUACCUAGUGCGUAUGCGCACUAGCUUGUAACGGCUCCUUACACACACACACCCGCCCCCAUGUAAUCCUGUGCCUGUCUUUCUUAGUGUCAUUUAAGUGGAUGGAGAGUCCUCAGCUCCAGCCACUCAGCACUCAACCCCAGCCCCAUCUCUAGCUGGGUGGAUGGAAACCCUUACUGAAGGCACAUUCCAGAGUUUCGCUGUUUAGUUCUUGAGUGCUUGCAGACUGUGAUGAUGGGGCGAGACAGAGAGCCAGUUGCUCCUUCGGCACACCAACCACUUCCAUCUGUGUUCUGGGCUCCAUUCUUUAAGGUGUAGCGGCCACCUUUUAUGCCCCCUUUCUCACACUCAGCUGUGCAUGUUCAGGGGACCCAAGGAUGAUUCAGAGGCUCCCCCACCAUUUCAGCACCAUUUGUUUGAUUUUUUGAGGCAGGGUCUCUGUUAGGUAGCCCUACUAGAAGUAGAGACCAGGCUAGCCUUGAACUAGACUACCUCUGCCUCCCCAGUGCUGGAAAUAAAGGGACACACUACCAUACCUGACUCCAACUCCAUUUCAAAACCUUGGUGGAUUUUUUAAUUGCACGAAUGAAUAAUAUGCUUUCUGUUGAGAGAGGCAAGGUUCUAUGUGAUUGUGUAUUAAACUAUACUACUAUGGCUAUAAAGAAAAAUAAAGCUUUUAUUUUCUUGGUAAUUUGUCUGUUUUUCCGUUUUUUUUUUUUUUUCAACCCAA